GGAGAGGUCAAGGCUCCUUCGGGCUCUGCGCGGCGCCUAGCGAUGACAUCACGCCCGCGACACCGCCCACCCCACUCGGAUCGGCGCUGGAAAGCUGAGUGUGCAAGAGAGAAGUCGGCGGAGCCUGGCCCAGCGUGCCUCCAUCUCCGCCCCAAGACUAACCCCCCGGCUCCAAAUUUCACGCCCGGCCUAAAGGACCCCCUGCGACACCUGGAAACACGCAACCUUGCCGCAAGAAACCGCGCCCCUUCCUUAGACCCUGCUUUUUUUUCUGGGUCCCGCCCCCAAAGAGCCUGUGCUGGAAUCCAGCCAAUGAGACCUCCAUGGCGGGCCUCGUCUCCUGCAGAAAGCCCUUAGUAUUGAGCCUGUGGGACCGUGCCUCUCAUAUCCCCCAAGGCAGAGGGUUAUUUGCCACGUUCCCCGCGCGGCCUCCAGAGGGCGUCAUGAACCCAUAGCAGCCUUCGCUGCUUCGCCGAGCCUGAUCACCUGGCUGGCCUGGGCCAGGAGCUUAGUGACCUAGGACGUGGUCUGGGAGCCAAACUCAGUUUCCUCAACUGGAAAAUGGAGAGAUCGUGAGAAGUCAUGCCUAGCACAAAGUGAACACUUUAGUGGUAUUAUUAUUAUUGUUAUUGUUAUUAUUGUUACUGAAGGUGAGUUUUGUCAUCAAAACAAGUCAAGAGCCGAGGCAGGGAAGGGGUGAACCCUGGAGGACUUGAAUACCUACUAAAGAUGUGGGUGCUUUUUUUUUUUUUUUUUGCAUCUGAUAUAUAACAUGGAUAUUUUUGUGUAGUAUUAAUAAAAAUUUACAGUGCAUUUCAUUGUGUAUCCUAUCCCUGCUAGAAUAAUUGUGGAUGGUAUUUGAACCCCACCCAAUCUGCAAUUUAGAAAGGUCUUUCAAUCCUUUAUGUUGCAGAAUUUUAUUUAUUCAUUUUAUGUUUGUGUAGGUAAUUCACACACCCGGUAAAGAAAAUUUCAACAACUACAAAAGUAUAAACUGGAGUGAAGUGUCUCCUCCAGUCUCUGAUCCUGCCCCUCCCUGUUUGCCUCCCAAAAGCCACCACCACAACCAGCUAUGCGUCUCCUCCCAGAACCAGUUUAUGAUUUUAUAGGCAGAUUUACAAGUCUGUCCUGUGCCAGGAAGUUUGGAUAUCAUGCAGCAAAGGAUGGAACAGCACUUGCUUAAUGAUUUAUUACGCACCUACUGGUCCUGCGUAGGUAAAUCCGGCAGACAACAUUGAGAUACUCACAGUGCAGUGCAGAAGGUUGAGGAGUCAGAUUAGGGGAAAGGGGCGCCUGGGUGGCUCAAUCGGUUAAGCGUCUGCCUUCGGCUCAGGUCAGGAUCCCAGUGUCCUGGAAUGGAGUACAGCAUCGGACUCCUUGCUCAGUGGGGAACCUGCUUCUCCUUCUACCUGCUGCUCCCCCUGCUUGUGCUCCCCAGCGUGCGCUCUCUCUUUUUGACAAAUAGAUAAAUAAAAUCUUAAAAAAGAAAAAAAAAAUAAUUAGGGGAAGGGAGGCCUACAGUGUAUGUGGGAACCCAGGGGAAGAACUCUUAACCUCUAAGGGCAGGGGUCUCAGAGGUGACUUCCCUGAGGCUGUAACUUGAGAACUAAGGUUUGAAGGUCCAUCAGGAGUUUGUUCAGAGGAGAAAAGGUGUUCCAGACUGAGAAUAGAGUUGCAAAGGCCAGAAGUGGGGAGAGAGCGGCAGGAAUCGGGAGUGGCUGGACCUUCCUGAUGGCAACUCAUUCGUUUAAGUUGAACCCACCUCAGGGCCUUUGCACUGUUGUUUCUUCUGCCUGGAACAUACUUUUCCCAGAGCUCCACAUGACUCUAUGUCUCACCUCCUUCAAUUCUUUGUUCAAAUUGUCACCUCCUGACCUGUCCUGACCACCCUAUUCAAAAUUGCAAUCCCCACUCCUGGCCCUUCUGACCCGCUUAUCCUGUCUUCACCCCAUCAGUAUUUAUCUUUUUUUUUUUUAAGAUUUUAUUCAUUUAUUUUUGAGAGAGAGAGAGAGGGAACAAGCACGAGCAGGGGGAAGGGCAGAGGGUGAAGCAGACUCCCCCCACUGAGCAGGAAGCCCAACAGGGGACUGGAUCCCAGGACUCUGGGAUCAUGACCUGAACCAAAGGCAGAUGCUCAACCGACCAACCCACCCAGGUGCCCCAGUAUUUAUCUUCUAACAUCCUAUGUAAUUUCCUGGUUUUUGAUGCUUUUUGUCUGUCUCCCCCAUUAGAAUAUAAACUCCCCCAGGACAGAAAUUUGCUCAGUCUCCUUCCCUGCUGUAGCUUCAGUACCCAGGAUAGCGACUAUAAUACAGUAGGGACUCAACACAUGUUUCUGGAGUGAAUUCCUUUGCUCAUCAUCCUGUUGCAGGGGUAUUACCAGAAAGAGAGAAAGCCCUCCCUUUGUCUCCUGGGUCUCAAGAUCUCUAGCCCCCUGAUGUCACGGGCACAUAAAUUAAAAAAAAAAAGAAGAAGAAGAAGAAGAUUAUUUGCCCAAUGACGCUGUAUUAACAUAGACACGUGUUCAAAUCUAGGGGGUGCCGCUAAGUGGCUCAGUAUCCCUGGACAACUGGUUAGCACUUUCAGUCUGGUCUGUGUAAGUGUAAGUGGGACAUACAUGAACCCUCCCCUACUGAGCUUAGUGAAGGAUCGGAGUUCUCUUUUCCUUCCAUCUGUGUAAGUGUAAGUGGGACAUAGAUGAACCCUCCCCUACUGAGCUUAGUGAAGGAUCGGAGUUCUCUUUUCCUUCCAUCUUCACUCCCCGCAGUCUUUUUCCCUCCACGGAAGGAGCCUGUAAACACCUGAGUCAGAUCACAUCCCUCAUCUGCUCAGAACCCUCCGUGUCUCAUUUCACUCUGAGCAAAAGCCAAAGUCCUCACUGGAGCCCACAAGGCCUUGCGAGGCCUGUCCUCACCUCCUCCCACCUUCUUCCUUUAUUACUCUGUGGUCAGGCCACACUGGUCUUCUCACCAGCACUGGUCAAUCCCAUGUCAGUCUCAGGGUCUUUGCACUGGUGCUUCUCUCUGCCUGGACCUCUCCCCCUUAAAUAUCUGCAUGACUCACUCCCUCACCUCCUUCAGGUCUUCAUUCAAAUGUCACCUUCUCAGCUGACACUGGGUCUAAAGUCACUGUUCCCUUCCUACCCCAUAUUCUUCAUAUGCCUUCCUGGAAUCAUUGUUUCUAGCACGCUUACCGCAUUCUAACAGAUGAUGUCAUUCUUAUUUAUUGAUUUAUCUUGAUUCUUGACCUCCUCUUCCACUAGAACAUCAGCUCCUAGAGGACGGGGUCCUUAUUUCUUGC
ensembl:lncRNA